CUACUGAAGUCUACCUAAGUUUCAUGGGUUCCUUUUCAUUGCCUUACAGAAUUUUCUGGUGUGAAAGUGCCAUGACUUUAUAAUUCAACUGGACAUUUGAGUCAUUUCCACUUUUUAUUAUUAUGAGGAAUGAAUAUACAUCCUGCUGGUGCCAGGCAAGCUUUCAAUCUUUCUGACAGCCGCCCUCAGCAUAGGAAGUACAACUGGUGUUUUUCACCCAGUACCAUUAUGUAAUUAUCCAAACUCCAAUCAAAGACUGAGUCAUGAUCCAUGUAGACCUUAGAGUGGGAGAAUAUUGGACAUUUGAGCUGGAACUUGAAGGAGGUGAAAGGUUUGGCCAAGUGAAGAACGAGCAGAGGCGACAGCAAGAACAGAAGAUGUGGCACAUAAGGUAAGGA